GGAUGUUACGGUGAUCUGUUUGUGACAUUUGUCUCCUCAUUGAUCACCAGGUUUGCCUCAGAUUAUCUGGCUGGCUAGGGGGGGUAUCCCCUUCUUCCCUCCCACUCCAUGUGCUCAGAUGACCUUCCUGGAAUAGAGACAUACUGGUCUUUGGUCGAGGGUAUAAGAGUAGCAGUGCUCCCUUGCUAGAACCUCCAAACAAGCUCUCUCUUACAUCUUUGUGAAUUUUUGUUUUUUUUUUUUCCAGUUAAGCUUUUGUUAUCAACAUUGUUAUGUAGGUAAAUAUAUUAAACAACUGGU
rnacentral:snRNA from 1 species